AGUGAGCGCUGGCGGUAGGCCUAACACAUGCAAGUCGAACGGCAGCACAGGAGAGCUUGCUCUCUGGGUGGCGAGUGGCGGACGGGUGAGGAAUACAUCGGAAUCUACUCUGUCGUGGGGGAUAACGUAGGGAGACUUACGCUAAUACCGCAUACGACUUACGGGUGAAAGCAGGGGACCUUCGGGCCUUGCGCGAUUGAAUGAGCCGAUGUCGGAUUAGCUAGUUGGCGGGGUAAAGGCCCACCAAGGCGACGAUCCGUAGCUGGUCUGAGAGUGUGAUCGUCCACACUGGCACUGAUACACGGUCCAGUCUCCUACGGGAGGCAGCAGUGGGGAAGAUUGGACAAUGGGCUCAAGCCUGAUUCAGCCAUACCGCUUGGGUGAAGAAGGCCUUCGGGUUGUAAUGCCCUUUUGUUGGGAAAGAAAUCCAGCUGGCUAAUACCCGGUUGGGAUGACGGUACCCAAAGAGCAAGCACCGGCUAACUUCGUGCCAGCAGCCGCCGUAA
rnacentral:rRNA from 1 species